GAGAGAUAGCACAGAGUGGAAGCUGAAAAUGUUGUUUUUGCUUUGACUGCACUAAGAUCUGCCUCUAUUAUUACCUGCCGCUUGUUAUUUGUUUCUCUUUUUAGUCUCAUCUACCACUACCCAAUUUCUCCAAAGGGGAUUGAAAGAACGCAAGUGGGUGUCGGUAAAAGACUGAUUUUUCAUCCCUUCUCUUGUGACUAGGACCAAGCUGACCUCCACCUCCUACUGUGCCUUUGGAAUAUCUUAUUACUUGGAUUUCUGUUUGACAUUUAAGAGCAUCUGAAUCCAAGAGCUUGGAUGUCGUUGUUGUUGUUUACUUGAGGAUUUUUUCACCCCCUAAACUAUCUUUUGUCACACGAGGAUCAUGGUUGGAUGUUUGAAUUUUUAUUAAUUUUUGCAUAUUAGUGCAUUUUGAUACAUUCUUUGAAGUAAAGGCUCUGGCAACGACAUGACUGAUACUAUUAGGAGAGUACACAGGAAUCAGUAAUAACCAGGAUUCAGAUUAGAAAUAGACAGUGGUCUCUGUUGUUUAGUCUGAAAGAGAGAUCAAGUUCAUCUGAGGCCAUGAAGAAAAUCUGGUCAAAGAAAAGAUUUCAGAGAGCUGGACAUUCUAGCUGGACGUUUGGGAGAUUCACUCAUGACUCAAACAGUACAGAGGAUGAAACUGAAGAGCCUCAGGUCUCCAUGGAGAUGAAGGAACAGUAUAUGCCUUCCCAGGGGGAAGCAAUAAAGAAUCAACCCACUGGCCGGGGGAGGGCAAUGCUUUUCCAUAUCCCAGGUGAUGGUCCAGUAGUAGAGAGAGAGAUGCAAGCUCUGGGCUCUAGAGCUCCUGGUCUUCAGGAUCCCUUGUCACCUGGCAGGCAAGCAAAUGCUGGGUGUGUUGAGAGCCCUCCAGCCAGACACCUGGGGAUUGAAGCUCUUGUGCGGGCCUCACAAAUAAGUGUGUACUAUGUGGCACUGGGGUCAGAGGAGAGUAUGUCAAUAGCCAGUGACUACUAUGGCAGUGUUUUGAGCCUCUAUCGAAGAAGGACCUUUUCCAUUUAUAGUGUUCAAUAAUGAGCGCUGGCACACUGGAUAUGAAAAGGCAUAACGUAACUUGAAUCGAGGUGGCACAAAACAAAUGUAUCAAAUUUAGAUUACAGCUCUAAUGGAACAUUUUAAAAAUAGUUUGCAUUACUUUAUUCUUCAUUUAUCGUGGCCUAUUUAUCUCAACCAUGUCAUGUUAUUUAUGUUUCCUUGAUUCCUACUUUCCCGUGGCUCCACUUGCAUAGUUUUUUUUUUUAAUGUUUUUAUUUUCUUACAAACUAUUUUGCAUGCCAUUGCAUUUGUAUGCUAAUUGCAGUCUUUUUUGUUUAUUAAUCUCCAGCAGUGCUUUACAUCUUUCAACAUGGCAUGUUUUUCAGUGCAUGUUUUAUUGUAUAACUAUGACAUUUUACUUUCUUUCACUCAAAAUGCACUAGUAACAAAAUAUCCACACAAUUUAUUUAUUUUUAUUUUUAUUUUUUUUGACACGGAUUUGCCAUUUUAAUAUUUUUAUUUUCUGUCAUAAUGCAACAUUUUCAACAGUCACCCUUAUUUCAGGAGCUAGUUUGACUUUAUGACAGGGAAACAUUUCCAUUUGUUCAAACCAAGCCAUUCCAAAAAGCGAGUGAUGUUGAGCCAACAACAGAUCCAACAAAAAACAGGCAUUAAUGGAGCUGAGCUACCUUUUGAAAUCUCAAAAAUCUCAUAUUCAUGUCAAAGCAGUGGUUCCAAAGAUAAAUUCUCACUCCAACCCCAAAGGCGUCACAGGCAAGUUCCAAAAUAUUUGAUAAAGUGAGAGCUUUUGAUGAAUAAAAACACAGCAGUAACAUACCAAAGUUGUCUUCUUCAAGACUAUCAUGGGAUCUGAAUCGAACAUCAUCCUGCAAUUCUGAGGAUAGUAAAAGUAAAUCAGGGAAGCCCCAAGACAACUUCAAGAGUGAUGUAACACCCAAGAGGUCUUUCUUCAAACAGAAGGCAUCCUAUCUGUAGGAACAGUCAACCCAUGUAUAGAAACAGUUUCAGAAUAAACUCUCAAUAGAGCUUAACCGAAUAAAAAAAUAUUUGAACAUCAAUAAAGCAUUUUUAGUGGAACAGCGCACCCAGACUGGCAAGCAGUCCACUGGAAACACUGAGUUAUUUCCAGCCCAGGUAAUUCUGAAGGUUGAAGACACUACUAAUUCAAAAGAUUUACCAGAAUCAAAAGAAGGAUGAUCAACAUUUCCAAAGGAGGAAUCACCACAACUACAGAGAAAGAAAUUGGCAGAUGAAUCAAAACAACCUGAAAGAAAAUCACCUUUUGAUAUUACGGAAAACCAGUGGAAGAAAGAUUCUAAGCCCAGGUGGUUGUUAGACACGCAAUUCUUCAAUGAAAAGGUCAUGUUCAGUAAAACACCAGAACAGUGUUCACCUAAGGUGCCAAGGACAAGUAUGUUCAGCAAAUUCCCAAAAUCACCUGUAGAAAUAUCACUUGCUCAACCCAUAAUUCAAGGGGGGUUAGUGCAAGCAACCCUAAAACCUCCAAGGUUGUUUGGUUCAGUUUCCGUGCUCCCAAAGUCAUUAAAGAAAACAGAGGAGAAAAAAAGACUCAUCACUUAUUGCGAAAAAGACCAUACCUACUAUUGUGGUUGAAAAUAAGCCUGUUGGUGAAGAGGCAGAUAAAAUAAAGUGUUGUCAAAAAGAAGUUGAGAAAUAUGAAGGAAAAACAACUAGAAGAAACAGAGAAGACCAGUCAGAUGCCACUUAAGAAUGCUGUGGUAGCUGCUCGAUCAGAGGUAAUGCUUCAGUAUGUCAACAAGGGAAAACCUGUUCCCAGAGUUUCUGCUGAGUCAUCUCUGACAAUUGCCAGACCAAUGCAGGAUGUAAAGGUCAAGGCAGGAGAGAUAGCCUUAUUUGAAUGUUUUCAAACUGGUCCACAGGCUGUGGAUGUUGAUUGGCUGGCUAAUUGGAAGUUUAUACACCCCGCACUAUUUGAUUGUAAGAUGCAAUUUACCUUCUGUUAAAAUCUGUGCAAGAUGACAACAGUGGAAGCUAUACUUGUAAAAUCAGUUCAGCAAAAGGACAGUACUUGAUAGAUAUUGUUUAUGAACCAGCCUGUCACCAUCACAAUAAAACUUAAUCAUGUCCAAUCAAACUCAUGGAAAAGGUUAGUGACAAAUACAAACCAAACAUUCAAAAUGCAGUAUAAAUUGUGUAUUACAUUAACAUAAUAUUAAGUAAGCCAUUGUUUACUAGAAGUGGUGCUUCUCAACAAACCUGAUGUAUUAGAGAUGACCAUGCCUGAUGAUGACCAGGAUAUUUCAGUAUAUUUUAGUGCCCCCUUCAUUUGAGACCAUCAUGGAGGACUUGGAUGUGUGGGGAAAACAUGUAUUUUUGCUGCGGUUGUAGACAGAAAACCUGACCCUAUUAUUCUCUGAUACAAGGUCAGUUUGCACUAUUGACUAUUACGCCAACUGAAAUGUCACUGAACAUUUUUUCCGUGUGAUUCCAUGCUAUAUGACUUUCAGGAUAAUAUCCUUCUGUCACAGAGCAGUCGUUUUACCUUUGUGUAUAAUGACAGAGAUUGCUCGCUUGUGAUUCUUAAUGCCAGAAAAGAGAUCUAGAGAGUAAUUCACCAAGAAAACACUAGCUAUGUAUGUUUAAAUUAGCAGUGUUAUGUCACUUACAUAUACAUGUCUGAUGAAUGUCUCCAUUUAGAUAGCAAAGUAAAUGUGUGUAGGUGUACUUACAAUUUCACAGCCAAAAAUGUGGAGGAGGAGGAAGAUCAAAUGGAAGAUGAAGGCACAAUUCUACGGUGGACGCAUAGGAUGACUGAUUAAUAUGACAUACACAAACAGAUUGGCAGAUUUUGUUACUCUGAAGAUGAUGUAGUUGGCUUUGUUGUCCAGAUUCUUCAGUGGUUAGAAUAUCUCCACAGCUGCCGGAUUCUUCAUCUUGACAUUAAUCCAGACAACUUCAUGGUCACCAACCUCAACCUCAACCUCAAUUAAUGUCAUAGAUUUUGGCAGUGCUGAAAGUUUUAAUCCUCUCUGCCUCUAACCAUACAGCAGAGAACUCGGGACUCUGGAGUACAAGGCUCCAGAAUUGUUGAAAGGUGAUCUAGUAGGACCCCUAAGCUGACAUUGAGUUCAUUCCUAUAUUAUACUCAGCGUUAGACUUCCUUUCCGAGACAAAUACCCAAAUCUAACAGAGAACAAAAUCCAUGCCACAAAGUUUGAUUCAACUAAGCUCUACCCAAAGGUGUCCCAAAGUGCCUCCAAAUUUCUUAAGAAGAUAUUAAAUGGCGAUCCAUGGACUUUAGGUGCAGCAAUGGAUACCCCUCUGUGACUCUACCAUUUUAGAAAGCGUAACAAUCAUCUAGGAUCACGGGUGUUGACCCACCAUUAAGGACUGCCUCAAUCAUUCAUGGCUUCAUAACUCUAAAUCUAAAGAAGCUGCGUCGACAGACCUUGACUUUCACUACUACACAGCUCAAGGAAUUCCAGGAGGAGCAUCAGUGAAGAUGUGCAGAGACGACUACUAAACACAAGGUCCUCCUAAGAGUCUACCAGAGUGGGUCUUCAUCCCCAGCCUCACUGACUAAGCCUAGCUCAACAAGUGAAGAAUAAAAAAAUAUGGACUUUGAACAGGAUAUGGUAAUGAAUUUCUUCAGAGCUGGAAAAUCUUUGGAAAUUAUACCCAGAGGUUUCCUUGAUGACACCCAUAAUAUGAGUAAUAUGAGAACAAAAUAGACUAUAUUUAAAAAAAAUAAAAUAAAUGUAAUAUAUGUCAAUGGUGUUGAUCAUAAUUGUUUGAUAGCUUGGUGAUGGACAUUAAAUAAGGUUUCAAUACUGGAUUCAGUUAACUUUGGAUCAGUAAUUAUACCCGAAUGUAUGUUUUUUUUUAAAGCAUUGUCAUUUAGUGUUUUAUGUACAAUAGUUUGCUACAUGUGAUGCAUUGAUUUGGACUUAAAUUUUAACUGAGAAUCAAUUUAAGAAUUACAGAAACAGGUAAUAAGGCCUGUCCAUGAAGAAGAAUACAGUAAUACUGUUUUCUGCAUUUCAUAAAAACAUUGUUUUCUUUGAGAAUUCUUAAAAUACACAAACUUAUCUGCAGUGUAAAAUGCUGAUUUGUCAGUGUUUUAAAUAUUUAGAGUGUAAACAACUAAUUAAGCUUUAUUAAAGUUUAGAAACAUUAUUCAGUGGUGUUCCAACACUGUCAAUACAUUCAGUUUUAUUAUAGAUUUUUUUUUCUGUCGUUUUUGUAAAAAAAUUAAAAUACAGCAGGUAAGGGUAACAUAUAUAUUUACUAAAUGUAUUUCUGAUUCCUGUGAGAUACUUUCAUUUCUAAUAAAUUCUUAUUUAAGCAGAAUUCAAAA